AUUUUCAUUUUACACGCCAACGAUUCACGCGACUCCGCCUUUUUUGCCUGAGAAGAAAAACUGAACAAUGAAAAACGAACCGUCCGAUCUAUCUUUGAAUAAAGAUGGUAAAGAAGUAUAUCUUGAUAAUCUUCAGUUAAUCAAGACGAUUGGAAAGACCGUCCGAAGUUGCCAAGAGGAGAGGAGGAAGAGGAAGCAGGUUUUCUACCCUUUGGAGAGCAUCGUUCCAACUGCAUCUUCGUGGAUGGAAUUUAAAAGCGGAUGGGUGUAAGUACCGAGAGUCUGGACUUCCAUUAAUCGUGAAAGCAAUUAUUACGAGGGAAAGGUCACGGGGCAGACUCUUAAUCGUUCUGAGGUGUGAAUGCUAAUGAGUCCGAAGAACAUGGAGCCAAGAUGCUCGUUGUCCGCACUUUCGAGAAAAAGAAUGCUUGUGGCGAUCUUAUAGCCUGACCUUGAUUAAUGCUGAGAAUAAAUGUACUCGAAAUAUUUUAUACUAUAUAGGUAGAGUCUAAUGCCUUCUUCGUAGAUUAUAUAUCACGUCAGAAUUGGAUACAACCAAGAAGAAGAUUGCGAGUGCGGUGUCAUUAUAUAGUUACAACUAUUACGCAGUUAAACUUUCUUAUAUUGUAUACGCACAUAUGUUCCACGCGUCUAGAUAUAUAUUUAUGCGUUAUCUAUAUAAGCGUUGAUAAUUUUUUUAGAUUAGAUUCAUCGUUGGUAAGAACAUAAAUUGAAGAAUCUUACAAUUAGUACGCAUAAGUGGGUCAUUGCCAUCUUUGUCAGCCAUGCAUGUCGAUCUUAUCUUUCUGUACUUUUUAGGUAUGUAAAUCUUUUCUCGAGGGAAUUUUUAAUCGUACGAGUAAGCUCUAUGGGGUAGUUAAUGAUAAAAAAUUCACGAUGAAAUAACGUACUUUCAACGGAUAUUAAAGAAAUAUCAUACUCAUUUUUCUGAUUAGUAUUGGACACAUGUGGUUUGUUGGUUUUCGAAUGAACCUUUCAAAACUUUUUAAACGUAACGAGACUAACGGAGAUGAUGCGAUUUCACGGCAAUCGAACACCCAUACUAUAGUAUAGUGGAUCUUGAUAAUCCUAUUUCAUCCUUCAUCUGUUCUCUAUCGUAUCUAUAUCCAUAUUGAGUUUUAUCAUUUUUUCAUAAUCGUACCGACUAAUAACAGAACAGAUUUGUAUGCCGAGAUGUAUGUACAUAAUCGGAUCUGUAGAUAUAACAUUAAUACUCCAAAGAUGAAUAUUCCAGUGAAAAGUAUCGGCUUUAGAAUUAUAAAAGAAGCUCAGUAUAAAAUCGUCCUGUUAUAAUCUUCGUAAUUGGUAUAAUUUUGACGGGAUCAAGUCUCUUGAUAAAGUUAAAAAUUCUUUUGCGAACGAUAUCCCUUUGAUACGCACUCGAUGAAUGAAUGAAUGGAAUAACCAACAACGUUACAAUCGGUAGUAAAUCCUGAUUUUCUUGAAGCUAGAAUGCAAUUCGGCCGACGUAACGAACCAAUGUACAUAACGAGCGCCUAAUUUAGAGUUAAGCCGCAAAGAGAGAAAGAGAGAGAGGGAGAGAGAGAGAGAAGCAGAGGAAGAGAGAAAACUGUCUAGUGUAGAGACGCCUUGCACCAGUGAAAAUAUAUCUACGAAACAGAAAUUGCAGUCUAGGACGAAAUUUAGUCUCGUUAACCCGACUCGGCAUUAAUGUACACUCUACGUAAUAGUUCCGUUAACCGGUAGUUAUGUCAAUUAGGUUUACUCGAACUGGCUGCUUUCAGAAUUAUUUAAAGAGUUAUUACAGUGAUGGUUUCUAGUGGGAGUUGCAAGAGAAGAUUAGGAUUAUGCUUUUGGGAGCUUUGAAGUGUCAGCAUCUAUUCGAAUUACUUUGUCUUGAUCAAUUCUAACCAAUUCAAACCUGUCAUAAAUUCCGUACGAUCUGCAUAGUAAUCAGAGACGACGUAAUCAGAGAAAAUGUAACACCGUUCGAAUUGAAAAUCGAUCCUUUUAUACGGUAAAAAGAACGAUCAAAUAAAUGAACCACAAAAUAUUCGCUCGUUAUUACGGCUAAAUCAACUAUCGAUGGGAGCUUCAAAGGCAGAAAACAACAAACACGUGUGUCGUAUAAACCAGAUACACGAGCGACGAAACUCGAUGAGUAGGUAUCGAGGUGCUUCUCGUUGGUUACAAAAUACAUUCACAUCCCCAAUAGCAACGUUACGACGUAAUAUAACGGUGUACGUAAUUCGAAAAGCCAUUGUGAAUUACGACUCGACGUUCGUGUUGCAUACGCGAUGCGACGACAAUUCGAGAGAACAUUUCACUUUCCACAGUACUUGCUUCGAUUCAAUCUUUAAUCUAUCAUAGACGUGAAUUCGAUCAUUACGAUGACUCUCCAACGAGCAACAAUAAAACAAGGGACCAUUUUAUUUCGAUUAUUUUCCACGGAAAUACCAGUAGUCAAUCUAAUCCCUACCAAUUGAUACGUUAUAUCUUUGAUCUUAAUGUUUCUUCUGUGUAGAAUUAGUAGAUAACGAUUGAAAAGCGAUUGGAAAUAAGUAAUUAAGAAUAUUCUACUAACAAUUAACUAAAUUAAUUUGUUAAACUUAGAACACAAAGAAACAAAGUGUUUUACUCAAGAGAUAUUUAUUGUGGAACAAAAGAAAUUUAUUGCGCCAUUUCUUGUACUAUACUGACUUUUAGUGUAGGGAUUUAACGUUGCGGAAAUCUGGAAGAGAUUAAUUAUACCAGGCAUUUCAUCGAUUUCGCGUUGGACAGCUUGCUGAGUUUCCAAUGCUUUCUCGCAAAUAUACCUUUGCCAUUGUCGGGUCAUUAAUUUAUAUUGUAAGAAUAAUAAAUACAUUUUAACAAGUUGUUAAGGGAUUUAAAAAAUCAGAAAUGACACGAAUAAACAAUAUCUAAUGAGUAAAGCACAAAAGUAUCAGUUAAGGAUGACGAAAGAGUAUCUGUUCGUUUACGGAUUUAUUUACCAAUCGUUUUAUCUUACACAGGUAGCUUUGUUAGUGAUAAACGAGAAUGCGUCGUUACCUCCGAAGGAGUCGAUCGGAAACGAUAAAGGACGAUCGACGAGUAAGUGUAAAGCGAUAACACCAACCGAUCGAGAAACGAUCCAGCUACAAAAGCCGAGUCAAUCUUCGUACUCGGAACCUGAAUUAUUAUACCUUACGUCCGAUACGGUUAUAUGGCCGCGACUCUGCUCACCCGUUGAAAUGCUGUCAGCUUAAUUAAUGGUGUUGUGUCAUGAAUGUGGGCAACCUGCCAGCAGCUCGUUAAAUUAUCACACAACGACUCAUUAAGCCUGUGCGCUUCGAUAACGAACUCGUUGCGUCUCCUGUCCCUCAGGAUAAUAGCGUAGAUAACUUAUUCCUUCUUGCUAUUUUGCAUCAUGUGUACAGAUAUGCGUACGUGCGUGCACAUAUGCGAAAUAACAUAGAUGCAUACAUUGUCAAUAAAAUAUCUUUAUACUUUAUCGUUUUCAAUCGUCAUAUCCAAAGUAUUAUUAUUAUCUUUAGUAGCCUCGUUACUUGUACGAUACUAUGAAAUUAUUGUCGCCCGUUUCACGAUCGAUAAUGAAACAUUCGUUUAAAUAUCACCCUGAAAUAUUAGAUGAUAUUCAAUAAAUCUAAAAAUAACAGUUCAAAUUUAAAAAAUAAAAAGUAAGUUCGAA